GAGUUUGAUCCUGGCUCAGGACGAACGCUGGCGGCGUGCCUAAUACAUGCAAGUCGAACGAACUCUGGUAUUGAUUGGUGCUUGCAUCAUGAUUUACAUUUGAGUGAGUGGCGAACUGGUGAGUAACACGUGGGAAACCUGCCCAGAAGCGGGGGAUAACACCUGGAAACAGAUGCUAAUACCGCAUAACAACUUGGACCGCAUGGUCCGAGCUUGAAAGAUGGCUUCGGCUAUCACUUUUGGAUGGUCCCGCGGCGUAUUAGCUAGAUGGUGGGGUAACGGCUCACCAUGGCAAUGAUACGUAGCCGACCUGAGAGGGUAAUCGGCCACAUUGGGACUGAGACACGGCCCAAACUCCUACGGGAGGCAGCAGUAGGGAAUCUUCCACAAUGGACGAAAGUCUGAUGGAGCAACGCCGCGUGAGUGAAGAAGGGUUUCGGCUCGUAAAACUCUGUUGUUAAAGAAGAACAUAUCUGAGAGUAACUGUUCAGGUAUUGACGGUAUUUAACCAGAAAGCCACGGCUAACUACGUGCCAGCAGCCGCGGUAAUACGUAGGUGGCAAGCGUUGUCCGGAUUUAUUGGGCGUAAAGCGAGCGCAGGCGGUUUUUUAAGUCUGAUGUGAAAGCCUUCGGCUCAACCGAAGAAGUGCAUCGGAAACUGGGAAACUUGAGUGCAGAAGAGGACAGUGGAACUCCAUGUGUAGCGGUGAAAUGCGUAGAUAUAUGGAAGAACACCAGUGGCGAAGGCGGCUGUCUGGUCUGUAACUGACGCUGAGGCUCGAAAGUAUGGGUAGCAAACAGGAUUAGAUACCCUGGUAGUCCAUACCGUAAACGAUGAAUGCUAAGUGUUGGAGGGUUUCCGCCCUUCAGUGCUGCAGCUAACGCAUUAAGCAUUCCGCCUGGGGAGUACGGCCGCAAGGCUGAAACUCAAAGGAAUUGACGGGGGCCCGCACAAGCGGUGGAGCAUGUGGUUUAAUUCGAAGCUACGCGAAGAACCUUACCAGGUCUUGACAUACUAUGCAAAUCUAAGAGAUUAGACGUUCCCUUCGGGGACAUGGAUACAGGUGGUGCAUGGUUGUCGUCAGCUCGUGUCGCGAGAUGUUGGGUUAAGUCCCGCAACGAGCGCAACCCUUAUUAUCAGUUGCCAGCAUUAAGUUGGGCACUCUGGUGAGACUGCCGGUGACAAACCGGAGGAAGGUGGGGAUGACGUCAAAUCAUCAUGCCCCUUAUGACCUGGGCUACACACGUGCUACAAUGGAUGGUACAACGAGUUGCGAACUCGCGAGAGUAAGCUAAUCUCUUAAAGCCAUUCUCAGUUCGGAUUGUAGGCUGCAACUCGCCUACAUGAAGUCGGAAUCGCUAGUAAUCGCGGAUCAGCAUGCCGCGGUGAAUACGUUCCCGGGCCUUGUACACACCGCCCGUCACACCAUGAGAGUUUGUAACACCCAAAGUCGGUGGGGUAACCUUUUAGGAACCAGCCGCCUAAGGUGGGACAGAUGAUUAGGGUGAAGUCGUAACAAGGUAACCAAUC
rnacentral:rRNA from 1 species